UACGUAGGUGGCGAGCGUUAUCCGGAUUUACUGGGUGUAAAGGGCGUGUAGGCGGGACUACAAGUCAGAUGUGAAAUUCCAGGGCUCAACCCUGGGCGUGCAUUUGAAACUGUAGUUCUUGAGUGAUGGAGAGGCAGGCGGAAUUCCGUGUGUAGCGGUGAAAUGCGUAGAUAUACGGAGGAACACCAGUGGCGAAGGCGGCCUGCUGGACAUUAACUGACGCUGAGGCGCGAAAGCGUGGGGAGCAAACAGG
rnacentral:rRNA from 1 species